rnacentral:misc_RNA from 1 species
UUUCCGUAGGUGAACCUGCGGAAGGAUCAUUAAUGAGGGCGUGUGGGCUAAUAUCCCCGCGAACCCUAACCCUCUGUUUACUGCCCCGUUGUGGUUUUUUACUUGGGCGCGGUUGGGGCUUUUUUUUUUUUUUUUUUAAAAAGAAAAAAGCUCUUGUGAUAUGCCCAAAAGGCUGCCACAAAUUUCCCUUUCCCCCCCCGACCCAAAAAUAAAAAUCAAAAAUAAAAAUCUUAUAACAAAAAUAUUUGAUGUCUGAAGUAAAAUCUUUAAAUAAAGCAAAACUUUCAACAACGGAUCUCUUGGUUCCGGCAUCGAUGAAGAACGCAGCGAAAUGCGAUAAGUAAUGUGGACCGCAGUACUCAGCGACUCAUCGAAUCUUUGAACGCACAUUGCGCCACUUGGUAUCACCAAAGGGCACACCUGUUCGAGCGUCACAUACAUCGCAUCAAGUCAAGGGCCCGGCUUGCAAUUGGGCUUUGUCUGCUUUAUGGUAGAAGUCUAAAAGUCAGUGGCGGUUAUGUUAGGCAUUCCAGCGUAGUGGGAUCAAAUUAGCUGUUGCAAUGUCUUUUACAUGACAGUCAAAAUGUUCAAGGGUUUCUGCUGGCGGAAACCCUUGGAUUUUAUCAACUAUGACCUCGG